rnacentral:lncRNA from 1 species
GUCCCACCCCCCUGCCUCCUCUUCUCCUUAGCCACCUUUCCCGGGUGAGCCUUGGGGCAGCAGGCUGUGUGUCAUGACUGAUCUAGCAGAGCUUCUCCCCCAGCCAUAUGCCUCUCGUGGGCUAUGAGGUGUGGUUGGGCACCUUGUUCCAGAACCCACAGCCAGGAGAGCCAGGCCUGCAGCAGGUCCCAGUGGCCAAGAUGGUGUGUGGGCCCUCCGGCUCCCAGCUUGUUCUGCUCAAGCUGGAGAGGUGUGUGACAAGUCAAGAAGGUGUGAGGUGGGGCUGACCCUUGGGGGCUCACAUCCUGAGUGCCCUCAUUUCCCAUUAAAGACCUGUGACCCUGAACCAGCGAGUGGCACUCAUCUGCCUGCCCCCCGAGAGGUAUGUGGUGCCACCAGGUACCAAGUGUGAGAUCGCAGGCUGGGGUGAGACCAAAGGUAAGAAAAAGCACAGCACAGUGGCAUGGACUACCCCAGGCCAGGAGGCCUAGCCUCAAAUUCUAUCCAGAGGCCCUCU